rnacentral:lncRNA from 1 species
CAAGCCUAAAAAUCCACACUCAAAGUUAUCUAUAUUAGAGAGUGUAUGGAUAAAAGACUCACUUCUAUCCUUGUACCUCCAUACUAUAGUAAUGCUCUUUAAAAAUCUAAAAACUCCUCAUUUGACUUCAAAAGAGCUUCUCUCAAUUGAUCUAUAUUUUUUUUUAUAAUCAAAUCUUAUUAUAAAAAAUUAUACUGAUUUUUUUCAUCAUAGUCCCUAAUCCUAGUAUAAUAAGAGCCAUCAUCUAAAAUCUUGGUUUCAAUCAUCAUAGCCAUGAUAUAAGGUUACUUUAAAAUAAUAGGAUAAGUAGCAAAGAUUUAUACAAAGAAAUUUUGCUCUACCUCUACAUCUCCAAUCCUUGUCCUAAUUCUUAGAUAUACCUCAUACAAAUUACCUUACUCAUUGCUAGUGGUCCUCAACAUCCAUCCAUGAUUAACAAUAAUGGGCUACUUAUCUAUCUCAUAAAUCUUACUUAACAUAAUAUUGAUUUUCAAUUCAUGAUCAAUAAGUGCUGAAGUCUCCUUCUUAAGAUCUUCUAAUGUCACUUCUUAGCCUCCAUAAUAGUUCUAGUCC